rnacentral:rRNA from 1 species
GACGGAGGGGGCUAGCGUUAUUCGGAAUUACUGGGCGUAAAGCGUGCGCAGGCGGUUAUAUAAGACAGAUGUGAAAUCCCCGGGCUCAACCUGGGAACUGCAUUUGUGACUGUAUAGCUAGAGUACGGCAGAGGGGGAUGGAAUUCCGCGUGUAGCAGUGAAAUGCGUAGAUAUGCGGAGGAACACCGAUGGCGAAGGCAAUCCCCUGGGCCUGUACUGACGCUCAUGCACGAAAGCGUGGGGAGCAAACAGG